UACGUAGGGGCCGAGCGUUGUCCGGAGUUAUUGGGCGUAAAGCGCGCGCAGGCGGCCUCGCGCGCCCGACGUGAAAGCCCCCGGCUUAACCGGGGAGAGUCGUUGGGGACGGCGGGGCUUGAGGGCGGGAGAGGUCGGUGGAAUUCCCGGUGUAGUGGUGAAAUGCGUAGAGAUCGGGAGGAACACCUGUGGCGAAGGCGGCCGACUGGGCCGACCCUGACGCUGAGGCGCGAAAGCGUGGGGAGCAAACGGG
rnacentral:rRNA from 1 species